CUACUGCUGAGGAAUCCUACAACAGAACGAAACGGCCGUCCAGAG
rnacentral:hammerhead_ribozyme from 1 species